rnacentral:rRNA from 1 species
GGCGUAAGGGUUUGUAGGCAGCUUUAAAAUAAUUAAAGAUUGAAUCAAAUAGAGGUCAAGAGAAUUUCUAGAUUAGGGUUGAUAUCUAUAAAAACUAGGAGGAAUUCUAAUUAGCGAAGGCACUUUUCUAUCUAAUGAUUGACGCUGAGAAACGAAGGGGAGGAUAGACAAUAGGAUUAGAUACCCUGGCAUCCCUCUCUGUAAACGAUGAAUGGUAGUUGCUAGUAAUAAUUAUUAGUGGCGAUGCUAACGCGUUAACCAUUCCGCCUUGUGAGUACGACUGCAAAGUUGAAAACAAAAAAAUUAGUCGGUUUCGGAGCAAACGAAGUGAAGCAUGUUAUUUAAUUCGAUAAUCCGC